GCGGAGCGUGUGACGCCGAGGCCGCCGCGGAACUGGGGAUUAAUGGGAAAAGUUUUGGCAGGAGACGGAGGUUUCUGCGGAGCCUGCGGGAGGGCGGCGGUGGCGCGGGAGGAGGCCGGGACAGUGUUGCGUGGUGUUUUGGGCAUGCACGUGGUACUCACACAGUGGCUUCUGCUCACCAACAGAUGAAGACAGAUGCACCAAAGAGGCUGACAGGAACUGCCCUGUAGAGGUCCAUCUGCGUUCAGACCCAGAUGAUGCCAGAGCUAUGACCGGGCCUGCAGGCGUGGUACCGAGGGGAGAUCAGCCAUGGAGCAGCCACAGGAGGAGACCCCUGAGGUCCGGGAAGAGGAGGAGAAAGAGGAAGUGGCAGAGGCAGAAGGAGCCCCAGAGCUCAAUGGGGGACCAGAGCCUGCACUUCCUUCUAGCAGCUACACAGACCUCUCCCGGAGCUCCUCGCCUCCCUCGCUGCUGGACCAGCUGCAGACGGGCUAUGACGGGGCCUCGUGUGGCGGCCUCAACAUGGAGUGCCGGGUCUGCGGGGACAAGGCAUCAGGCUUCCACUAUGGUGUUCAUGCGUGCGAGGGCUGCAAGGGCUUCUUUCGCCGGACAAUCCGCAUGAAGCUGGAGUAUGAGAAGUGUGAACGGAGCUGCAAGAUCCAGAAGAAGAAUCGCAACAAGUGCCAGUACUGCCGCUUCCAGAAGUGCCUGGCACUGGGCAUGUCACACAAUGCCAUCCGCUUUGGCCGGAUGCCAGAGGCUGAGAAGAGGAAGCUGGUGGCAGGGCUGACGGCAAGUGAGGGGAGCCAGCACAAUCCACAGGUGGCAGAUCUGAAGGCCUUCUCCAAGCACAUCUACAGCGCCUACCUGAAAAAUUUCAACAUGACCAAAAAGAAGGCCCGCAGCAUCCUCACCGGCAAAGCCAGCCACACAGCGCCCUUUGUGAUCCACGACAUCGAGACAUUGUGGCAGGCAGAGAAGGGGCUGGUAUGGAAGCAGCUCGUGAACAGCCUGCCGCCCUACAAGGAGAUCAGCGUGCACGUCUUCUACCGCUGCCAGUGCACCACAGUGGAGACCGUGCGGGAGCUCACUGAGUUCGCCAAGAGCAUCCCCAGCUUCAGCAACCUCUUCCUCAAUGACCAGGUCACCCUUCUCAAGUACGGUGUGCAUGAGGCCAUCUUCGCCAUGUUGGCCUCCAUCGUCAACAAAGACGGGCUUCUGGUGGCCAAUGGCAGUGGCUUUGUCACCCGUGAGUUCCUGCGCAGCCUCCGCAAGCCCUUCAGCGACAUCAUCGAGCCCAAGUUUGAGUUUGCUGUCAAGUUCAAUGCCCUGGAACUUGAUGACAGUGACCUGGCGCUAUUCAUUGCAGCCAUCAUUCUGUGUGGAGACCGGCCAGGCCUCAUGAACGUACCACAGGUGGAGGCCAUCCAGGACACUAUCCUGCGUGCCCUGGAGUUCCACUUGCAGGCCAACCACCCCGAUGCCCAGUACCUCUUCCCCAAGCUGCUGCAGAAGAUGGCAGACCUGCGGCAGCUGGUCACUGAGCAUGCCCAGAUGAUGCAGCGGAUCAAGAAGACUGAGACCGAGACUUCACUGCACCCCCUGCUCCAAGAGAUCUACAAGGACAUGUACUGAGGGGCAUGCUCAGGCUUCCUCCAAGGCUCCAGUGAGGACAUUCUGGGAGGGGCCCCCACGUGACUCUUCCGUUGACCAGCCCAUGAGCACACACCCAGGCAGCAGCUCCCUCCCUCGUGCUCUCAGACAUGCAGCCUCCAGCUCCCUGUGUGCCCUUUAUCCCUAUUCUGCCUCCCCCCAGCUCUUUGUCUUUGACGUUUCUCUCUUCCUCAGCUCCUCUUUCUUUUCUAAUUUCUCAUGUUCUCUUUCUUCCUUUCUCUCUAUAGGUGUCCCUCUUCCUUCCUCCCUUGCCCUCCUUUGCCCUCCCUUUCUCUCUCCAUUUCCCCAUGUCUGGCCCUCUUUCUUGUUCUGUGAGGCAGUUUGUGUUAUUUCACCAGCAGCAAAGAACAGGACCACUGCUUCUGCCCACUCUUUCCCCACACCUGCAGGCUUAGAGGCCUCACCUCUGUCUCCUGUCUUAGAGCAAAGAAACACUAAGCUCUCCAGGCCUGGCUUCCCAGGGAAGCCGAGCAUGGCCUGGACUGACUGCAGCAACAGCCUGGAGUCAGGGGGUCCCUGCUGUGAAGGACAGUGGGCAGGGGCCUGAGCUGAGAGCCAGAUGCCUCCCCGAGAUUCUCACCACCCCCUGAGGCUGGCUCCCCUGACCCAACCAACCCCACUGACCCCACUCCAGCAGCACAUCCCAGCCCACUGACACCCAGCAUCCUAUUCUUCACACCAGUUUUCCAGGCCAAGGGCACUGAUGGCCCCCGGCGCUGGCAGCUGGGGGCACCCUCCAGCCUGUAGGGAGGUGGAGUUCCCUUCAGAGGUAGGCCAUGCCCCCAUUGAAGAGAAGCCAGUCUCAAGGGAGGGAGGCAGGGUUGGUGGUUGGAGGGAACAAUUGAUUCUGACCCCAGGACUCGGAAGGCCAGGGAGAGCUUGGAACAAACCCUCCAUCAGCACCCCACUCUCCCCGCAUCCUGUAGCAGCUGCCUACAUGGUGUCAGCACCCAGAGCCAGGGCCUAGCCUCAAACACGACUGCUCCUUUCUCUAGCCAUGAGAUGUUGGCACUGGCUCCAGCCCCCCCCCCCCCCCGGAGCUGCCACUCCAGCACACACCGCAAGCACUGAAAUCACUUUACCUGCAGGUUGUGGGCCCCUCAUGCUCUCCUCCCCGAGGCAGGUGAGUGCCUAGCAACAGGCCUGCAGGUGGACAGGCAGAGCUGCACCUUGUUUCCAGUGCUGGGCCACAUCCCUGGGUGGGCAGGAGUGUCCUGUUGAGUCAGCCCAGCACCCGCUCACAGCAGGAGCUGCUAGAGAUAAACUGAUCCUGUCCUGAUGUCCAUUUGUCCCAACAGCUCUGCUGCCCUUCCUUUCCCCUGUAUUUGACUCAGCUGGUUACCUGGAACUCUCCCUGCACAGCCUCUGGUGACCAGGAACUUUGCCGGGCACAGUGCCACACUCCCGGCCCCUGCCCUCUGCUGCUUGCUGCUCGCGGGCGGAGGUCCACUCAGCUCAGAGGGGCUGAAGCAGUGUGAAGUGCCACAUCUUAGCAGGAGGGCAGAGGGCCUGCGCAUCCUGCCGGGGUGAGGGACUGGCUAGCGUCUCAGAGCAAGGUGGUGGGAGAGCUGGGGUUAGAGCCUAGGCUUCCUGGGUCCUCUCUGGUCCUCCUUCCCAAGAAGCCUUCCCAUCUGACCGCAGCUCUGGGAGGACAUGCCCUAGAGAGAGGAAAAGCCCAGUGUCUGCCCUGCCAGCGCUGUGGCCUUUUAUGCCCUGGGGUCACUCUCUACAGACAAGGUUCUUCCCUCUCCCCUCCCACCUGACUGACCAGGGAUUUGGCUGAGGGGUGCUCCCUUUUGGGCCAAGGCUAUGAAGGGAGAGCUGCUGUGCCUGACUGACCCCCUCCCCACCAUGUGCCCUGUCCCCACCCCCGACCCAGGUCUGGUGCUGAGGAUACAGCUCUUCUCAGUGUCUGAACAAUCUCCAAAAUUGAAAUGUAUAUUUUUGCUAGGAGCCCCAGCUUCCUGUGUUUUUUAAUAUAAAUAGCUUAAAAAGACUCCUGGAACUUUAAAUAAAUGGGAAUUAAAUAUUUAAGAGUUGACUUUAA